rnacentral:lncRNA from 1 species
AGAGAGAGAGAGAGAGAGAAAGGAGGAAAUCAAGCAAGCAAGCUGUGAGGAGGGAAAGAGGUUCAUGAGAAGAGGAAGAAGCAGUCCCAGGGUGUCCCAGGGUUCUGGAUAUCAGCCUGAGAAUCCAAAUUCAGCUUGGGAGGCAGAGGGCAGGAAGGUGGCUACAGUAGCCUGGGUGAAGACCAAUGUCUGGGUUGAAAUGUCAGAGGUUCAGUAGUACAAGUGCAAAUGGCUGGGGUCGAAGGUUAAGGUCUCAGGACUUGUUAGCCAGAGGCUCAGAGGAGUCAGAAGUGUAAGAAUGAGCUCUGUGUAGAGAGACUUAGAGGAGGGCCGGUGUCUGGGGAGGAUGGCAAGACUCUACUCAGGGGGGACAAGGAGGUCCUCUCAGGGUAUGUCUGAGAGGACAGAGGAAGUCAGGGUUUAGAGAGAGAUCGGAGCACUAGGUGGAUAACAGUAUGGCUUGUUGGGAGUGUAGAUUACCAGACUGGAGAGGAAGAGGGUAGGGGCUGUAGAGGCUGUGAAGUUGUGCAGUGACUGUGGGAGUGUAGAACCCUGAGGGAAAGGCAGACUGUCUGAGGGAGCAAUGCUGCUGAGAGCACAGCAGUCACUCCUAGGACAGAAGACUGGGGAGGAAGGCUGGAGACUGAGACACUGGAAGGCUUGGAGGGAAGGAAGGCAAGGGUCAGGGAAGAGACGAGGAGGCUAAUGGAAAAGUAGAUGGCUAAGGGAGAACAGAAUGCUGGAGAGGAGGGCAGGGCAGAGGGCAGCUGCUUACAGGGGUGCAGAGAGAAUACUGAAUACCAGGGGAGUAUUUACAUGUUUACAUGUAGUAUUUACAUGUUUACAUGGAGGUUAGGAGUUACAUGUAGUAUUUACAUGUAGUAUUUACAUGGAGGUUAGGAGUUACAUGUAGUAUUUACAUGUUUACAUGGAGGUUAGGAGUCUUAGGGAGAUAGAGAAUCGAAGGUGGUAGGUUGGAUUGCCUAUAAUCUAGAAACAGCCCAGGAAGUUUUCCAGCAGGGUGGGCUAGAAAGGAAGGAUAGGAAUGAGGGCUGUAGGGGAGAGUCCUAGUCUUAGGGGAGAGAGAGAUGAUCAGGAAGCCAGGGGAAAGGCCAGUGGGAGGGGGUGGCUUGGAUGGAUGGUAGCACAGCAGGAAAGACGGAGAAGCUAGAAAGGAGGACAGGAGGUUGUGGAAGUGAGCAUGAGCCACUGCAGGAGCAAAGGAUGGUGAGGAUACAGACAGGGUGAUAUACAACAUGGUAGAAGGUCUGGCAUUUGGCAGGAGGCUGAUGACGAGGUUGGGGAACACAAGAGGUUAAAAGAGCCAAGACUAGCCGGGCAGUGGUGGCCAAUGCCUUUAAUUCCAGCACUUGGGAGGUAGAGGCCAGUGGAUUUCUGAGUUAGAGGCUAGCCUGGUCUACAGAGUGAGUUCCAGGACAGCCAGGGCUAUACAGAGAAACCCUGUCUUGAAAAGGCAAAAAAAAAAAAAAAAAGAAAAGAAAGAGAGGAAGGAAGGAAGGAAGGAAGGAAGGAAGGAAGGAAGGAAGGAAGGAAGGAAGGAAGGAAGGAAGGAAGGAAGGAAGGAAGGAAAAAAGCCAAGACUGAAGGAAAAGCCUCAUAAAACGUUUGAAGCCAACUGAAGAUAGGAAAGAAGACUGCACAAAAGUACACACAGACUAGGAGAGUCUCAUGCUAGAAACGUGACUCCGAAGUCAGGACAGCUGUCUACUCUUUCAGAGUUCCAAGGUUCAAUUCCAUACCCCUACAUGGAGUCUCAAAUGCACUGGCAUCUCCAGUACCAGGGGAUCCAGUGUUCUCUUCCAGCCUCCCCUGAGACUAGCAGUGCACCUAUUACUUACAACACAGGCCCUUGAAGAGCUAGCCACAAAACACUUUUAAAUGUUUUAAAGAAUGGUCAAUCUCUUUAAUAGCAGUAAAGAGGUUAUUUUACUGCAGUGAGAGUUGGAACAUGAGUACUGGAGGGGUGUUCUGGGAUGGGGCAGGAGAAUAAAUAGAGAAUAAAAGGCUAUGGGGAUGGUAGGGGCCUUGGGAGAGCAGGAAGGCAAGGGCAGCUUAGAAUGUUGUAAGAGGAGCCCAGAUUAGGGAGGCAGAAAGGGACCUGCUGAGGAGGAUUUCAGUGUCAGAGUGUGGGUUGGAGGCCCCCGUGAGCAAUGCGUCUAGGGAGGAGGGCAAGACACACUGGUAGGUCCUGAGACUUGGGAAAGGUACAAAGUCUGGAAAGAAGAAGACAGGAAGUUCCUGGGGAGGGUACCAGGUGGCCCCAAGUUCCAAGGGUCAGCAGUAGAACAUCAAAUAGGCUGAGGAGGCUCUCAGGAGGGUUGAAGGUUAGUGAUGGGGGCCACAUGACCAGGGGGAGAAUAGGAGGCUAUGGGAAGGUGGAAGGAUGAUGAGGUCAGGGGGCAAAGGGAGGGUCGAAGGGGAAUAUGAAAAUCAGGAGGAUUAAGGGGAAGAGGGCCUGAGACACAGUAGCAGGGCAAGAGGCUGAGGGGGAAGGAUGCAGGAGUGGCAGAGUGUGAACAGUUGUCAUGAGGAGGG